rfam:Arabis alpina cultivar Pajares chromosome 4, whole genome shotgun sequence.
ACUCCAUGGUGAUGACAAGAUCUAGUGUAUCCCUUCAGUUUUUCCCAUGCCUCAUAGAGAGCUUCAUUUGGACCUUGCUUGAAACUUGUAAUGCCGUUUUAUUUAU